AUUGAACGCUGGCGGCAUGCCUUACACAUGCCAGUCGAACGGUAACGCGCCUUCGGGUGCCGCCGAGUGGUGGACGGGGGCGUAAUAGAUCGGAACGUGUCCGAUCCUGGGGGAUAACGGGGCAAAAGGUUUGCUAAUACCGCAUACGACCUACGAAUGAAAGCAGGGGACCGCAAGGCUUUGCGCGGACGUAGCGGCCGAUGGCAGAUUAGGUAGUUGGUGGGGUAAAGGCUUACCAAGGCGACGAUCUGUAGCUGGUCUGAGAGGAUGAUCAGCCACACUGGAACUGAGACACGGCCCAGACUCCUACGGGAGGCAGCAGUGGGGAAUUUUGGACAAUGGGCGCAAGCCUGAUCCAGCCAUGCCGCGUGCGUGAUGAAGGCCUUCGGGUUGUAAACUGCUUUUGUACGGAAAGAAAAGCCGUCUAUUAAUACGGGAGGGUCAUGACGGUACCGAAAGAAUAAGCACCGGCUAACUACGUG
rnacentral:rRNA from 1 species